GAUUCUUUUCACUUUUCCAGUGGGAUUCAGUUUUCAUCAGGGAGCCUGAGAGAGGCCUCUCUCUGCUGUUCACCUCUGCAACUCAGGACAAUGGCCUUUAUGUCCCCCUGUGCCUCUGUAAUGUGGAACUGGGUAGCUGCACAGCCAAGAGGCCAGAGGCAGCGGUGGUGGUGGGGCUGGCUGUUGUUACAGGUGCCUGUGGGGCCAAGCCAGUGGCCGGUGGGCCUGCGGGGUGGGGUGGGGGUGUCCUCACCGUUUCCUGGAUGCAAGUGGGCUGACGCUGAUUCUCUUUAAUGCUGCACCGGCAUCUCUCCUGCUGGAAGUUUUUGGGAACAAGUCUUUACCUACCUGUUCUUGUUGGAUCACGGGUCAUGGCAGCCUCUGGAUGUGUGUCUCCUACUGGGGCAGUCCCCACUGUCUGCAUGUGUAAAGGAAGGUGCACACAUGCAGGGUGCCAGGUGUGGGAGUGAGUCAGCCACCCAAGCGCUGGCUCAUCUGCCUCCCGGCCCUGGUGCAGGGCUCUGCCCCUCUCUGGCUUUGUCAGCCUGAGGUACAGAGGCUGGUGUCAUCUGAGCCUGCACUGACUGGGGUGUGAGCAGCUCUCCACUCACUCCUGCUGUGAUGUCCCCGGCCCCAGACUCUGCUCCUUCCUCCCCUGUCCCCUGCCUGGAGUAGGAGGAGGCCCUGGGAGUCCAGCGUGCUCUGAGGGCCUUUCUGUCCUGGGCCGGGAGGUGGCACUGAGGUCCUCACCGUGGCACGGGUGAAGUGUGGGAAGCCAACAAGUGUGAAGCACAUCACACUUGAACAGUGGUCCUGCAAAUCAUUGGCUUCUGUGAGCUGGGAGGGCCAUGGCCAACCCUCCUGGGCCCCCGAUUUUAUCAGUCAACAGAACUGGGGCUUGAGAGAUGCAGAUGCACAUCUGUGGGCACUGCUGUCCUCCCCAGAGGGCCUGGCUCUGCAGACCCCUGAGAGAUGGUGUGUGGGGUUAUGGUUUAUAUCUGUGGAAGGCCAUUGGAUUAGGGGCUUAUAGCAGAUUGCUCUUAGGAGGCGGCUCCUGAUGGGAAGGGGCGGGUCACUGUGGGUGUGACCGGAAGUUCACAUCUCCCUUCCCGUUUCUUCCCUGACGCGCUACUUCCUGUUCACCAUGCCUCGAGCCGCUCUCCUCCCCGAGGCUCCUCUGCCCUGCCGUUCUGCCUCAGAGCCUGCCGACCACCAACCGACAGACGAGCAGUAUAAACCUCUCCUCCGGUUGAGUCGGUGUCGAGCACGGUGUCCCAGCGAGGAGAAGGCAGAGCCGCUGUGCGUCAGGACGCUGGUGCCCCCAACAGAACCACAGUGCGGUGCCCAGGAGGGUCUUGCUGUGUAGCCCAGGCUGGCCCCGAACUCACAAUGAUCCUCCUGCCAGGGCCUCCAAGGUGCUGGGACUACAGCCACGAACCACCGUGCCUGCCCACAGAUGGCAGGAGAGUUUGUGAUUUGCAGGAAAAUCGGGCAGUGAGUACAGAGAUCCUCUGGACAUGCACAGUGUCCCUGGGCACCUGUGACCUGUGAGGACCGGCACCGCCCAUGGGCACUUCCCGAGGGCCACGGUUUCCGGCCUCUCUCCUGUGUCCCGACUGCGUCCUGACCCACGCCCACCCCACAGUGCCCACUGACAGUGCCCCUCCAGUCCUGUCGCCCGCUCAUCCCUCCUACCACGAAUGCAGCGUCCUGACAUCUGGGCUUUUCCAGAACGGCAUAGGGUUGGACCACAGUACACAGCCCUGCAGACCGGCUGCUUUCGUACGCAUUCUUGCUGAAGGCUCCUCUGUGUCUCCUGGGAAACAUUUUAUGGGAGCAAAGCAUGUGUGCAGAAGAUGCAUGAUUACAUGUGCGGGGUCCCGGACUGCCAGGCUCGGGGCUCCGGGGCUCCGGGGUAGCCGGCCCCCAGCCGGAAGCCACUGUGGCCAGUACUGGGAGUCCCGUGUUCACUGCCAGACCCUGCCCUGCUUGCCGGAGGCCACCCUGCUCCCCACGCCUGAGUCCACAGUGGGGACGUCCGUGGCCAGUCUGUGGCCGGUGUCCCGCACUCAGCACUGUGCUGCGUGGCCGGGAGUGGUGUCCCGUGGUAGGAAGGGCCUCUGCUCGUGGUCUUAGCCCCAGCCUCCUUGGUGAAGUACGGGCGGCUGCAUGGAUCACUCCGGCCUUUGGUCCAAGUUCUCUGUUGGCCCUGGCUCCUGAGUGGCCACGCUGCCUCUGAACCCUGGCAUGGGGACUGAGUCUGCUGGACUGGAGCAGGAGAAACGCAACCACAGAGCCCAAGGAUUCAGAAUCUGCCAGAUUACGAAGGGCCCAAUCUCAAUAGUUUUUGCCUAAACUUACACUUAGAUUAAUUUUAGUGAAUAUCCCAUUGGUAAUUAAACGUAUCCAUUUAUAUAUUUAUUUAUUUAUUCUUUCUGUCAUUUUUAAUUUUUAUUUAUUUAUUUAUUUUUGGUACUGGAGAUCGAGCUCAGGUCCUUGUGCUUGCGCAGCAGGUGGAGAAACCACUGAGCUAAAUCCCCGGCCCUUUCUGUCAUUCUUUAUUAGCACGUUUGCAGUACAUACAGUCAUAUCGAUCGUGGGGAGUCGGUGUGUUUCUGUAACACUUCUUAAUUCUUUCUUCCUCCUCGUCCCCCCACCUCUUGGUCCCCUUCCCUUUUGGAAAUGAUCCCUCUGCCUGUUUUCUAUCACCUGUCUUUUGUUUUUCUCUUUAAUUUAUUUAUACUCUGGGUUUCUCAUAGAAGAGAAACCAUGUGAUAUUUAAGCUUGUGUGUCUGAUUUAUUUCACUUAACAUUAUGGUCUCAAGGUGCACCCAUGUUCCUAUAAAUGACUCAAGUUUAUCUUUCUUUAUGGCAGAGUAUUACCCCACUGUGUGUAAAUGCCACAUUUUAUUUAUUCAUUCUGUUCAUGGGCAUAUAGGCCACUUCCAAGAUUUAGCUGUUGUGAGUUUUAUUGCUGUAAACCUGGGUGUGCAUGGAUCCCUGCAGUAUGAUGUCUUUAACUCUCUCGGAAGGGGGAGUAGCUGGGUCAAUGGAAGUUCUAGAUCAUCUGCUCCAUUAAGUGUAAUCUGAGUGGUAUUCUCUGCAUGCAGUCAGUGGUUACUUAGUGAGAUGUGCCCACACUGGCUGGGGGGGGCCCUGGGGGCAGAGCCUUGCUGUUAGGUUUCCGUAGGGGCAUGAGUUGCUGCCAUCCCCGAAUGUGCAUGGUGUGCAGAGCCCGUGCCCAGGCCCAGUGUGCAUUUGCUGAGCUUGGUCCCUGUCCCUGAUGGUCUCAUUUUACGGAUGUGGAAGAAGGGGGCAGCUGAAGCAGUGAGCUCUGCUACAUAGUAGUCUGCUUGUCGCUGUGACAGAGCACCAAGGAAAUCGGUGUGAGGGAGAGAGGGUCUUUCUGGUUGGUUGGCUCUGUCCCUCUUAGGCUGGGUGAGGUCACAGUAUCACAGUGAACGGGCCCAGAGUUGCAGGGCACCGAGGGCCGCCUGGGGACAGUGCCUGUUUCACUGCUGCAUUGUGGAGGGGCAGGCCGUGUUCAUCCUGGACAGGUUCCGGUGCAGAAGAGUGGUUCUGUCUGCCAGGCCAGGGCAGCAGAUGCCACUGGGUGUUGGCCACGACUGAGUCCUCUUGCUCAUGCUGGUCCUGUGUCCCCUUCCUCCAGGAUCCCAUCUGGGGGUGACUCCUGAAGCCCCAGGUGCAGGGGACAUUUCCCGACCCACCUCCCCGGUGGGGCCUCUCAGACGGAACGUAUCGGAAGCCCAGCUGCUCCAGCCUCCUCCUUGCCAAAGUGAUUUUAGAUAUGUUACGACUGACAAACAGCACAACCCAGUUCAGAGGGAAAAAUCUCCCCUCUAUUGGAAUAGAGGAAAUUGGGGAGGAGGUAGGUUUUAUUUUUCACUGUUACUUUUGAAAUGAUUAUAGAUUCACAGGAAGUUGCAAAAGUUGUACGCAGGGUCUCCCAGGUCCUCCUCCAGCUCCCUGCAAUGGCGACAUUUUACUUAGCAGCAGUAAAACAGCAAGACCAGGAAAUUGACAUCAGAAUGAGACUCCAGGCCUUGCUCGGAUUUCGCCUGUGUGCGCACGUGCACGUGUGUGUGUUUCUGUGCACGUGAUCUCUUGCAGAGGCUCACGUUACCGCUGCCACCAUCAGGACACUGGGCAGCUUCACUGCCAGAAACCAGCUUCCUGGCGCCCCCGGGAGGGGACCUGCAAACCAUGAGUGGACAAGACGCGCUGUGCGCACUCACUGUACGGCCCCGACUUCUGGAGUGAGUGUACACUGCGGAACAGCUGCGUCAAGCUGAGGGGCGAUGCUGUUUGUGCACUGUGAGGACACCCCAGAUUGGCUCCCUUUGCAGUCUCGAAGUGGUUACGCACUUGGUCACUACCGUCGCCGCAUCCUGCCACAGACCCCUCGAAGCUGUUUCUCUUGUGUGACUAAAAUUGUGCCCUUGACCGACCAGGCACACCAUGUUUUUAGCAGCACAAUAGCUAAGUCUUGGAAGCAGCCUAUACGUCCAUCAACAGAUGAACGGAUAAAGAAAAUAUGCUAUUUACACACAACGGAGUACUACUCUGCCACAAAGAAGGAUAAACCAAAGUCAUUUGUAGGAACAUGGAUGCACCUUGAGACCAUAAUGUUAAGAGAAAUAAAUCAGACACAGAAGGUUAAAUAUCACAUGGCUUCUCUUAUAUGUGAAACCCUGAGUAUAAAUAAAGAGCAAAAUAAGAGAUAGAUCAUAGGUAACAGGGAGAUGGAUGUUUUGGAAAUAGGAAGGGAGCCAAGAGAUAGAGGGGAGGAAGGAGGGGACAGGAUGGGAUGAGAGAACUGAAAUGUGCAACGUGUGUGGACCAAUUCCCCACGAGGACCGUGGUCACUGUGUGCUGCAAACAUGGACUAAUAGAAUUUAAAAAAUUAAA